rnacentral:ncRNA from 2 species
UCACAUCGUCGCGACUGGCGCACGGCGAGACACGCCGAAGGUGGAGUACCACCAGGGAGCGACACCCAACCAGCAGACUUUAGGUCGAACGCCUGGGCCGCGAAG